AGCGUGUGUGGAUCUGAAUGUGAAGGCUUAGAUUUUAGGUAAAAACACAGGGUAGAUGAGGUUAAAGUCUCAGGAUAAAGAAGCAGGACCCGAUGGGGCCUUCCUGGGAUAGACCUCCCCAUGUCCUGGCCUGCCUCUUGUUUGUGGAAAAGCUUUUGUCUCCCAGGCCUCUGUUGGUCACAACAGGGUGGCUCAAGAGUUAAUGAUUGGAAGAAUGUGAACACGUAUAACAAAAGACAGCAGCUGGGUCAGGAGAACAGGUAAUAAUUUAAACAAUAGAUCAGCCAUACAGUAGAGUCACAGAAUCUUUAGUUCUUCCCUGAAGAAUAUAAAUGACAGUACCUGACACACAUUCCUGAGCUGUUUCACAGAUACUCAAACCCCCACCAGAUGGAAGGAGUUAACUGCAUGAUGACCAUGUACAUGUAGCCCCCAGACCAGUUGGAACCAGAAGGUUGAUGAUGUUGACUCCAGAAUGCAUUACCACCAAUCAAUCAGAAGCAUGUCUACGAGCUGAUCAAGCACCUCACAACUCUCUCCCUUACCCUGUCUUUGGAAACCUUUCCCCAAAAGCCAGUGGGGACUUCAGGCCUUUUGAGCAUUAGCCGCCCAUACUCUUUGCUUGGCCUUGCAAUAAAUGCUGCACUGUCCUUCACCACAACCCAGCAUCAAUAGACUGGCUUUACUGCAUUUGGAUGAAUGGACCCAAGUUUGGUUCGGUAGCAUCAGGUUCCACUGAGACAUGGGCCACCUCAUUAGUUCACCUACACAUUCUUCAGCAGGAUCAUAUGCCUGUGUUAAACCAGGAACUCAGAGUCUAGACAGGAAGGCAGUCUCAGGAACAGACAAAUUACAUUAUAAGGCAGUCCGUGCAAGCACAGAGGGAAAAGCACAGCGCCUGGGAUCCAGGGAAGACGGAGGAUUGGGAGAAACAAGAGAAGGAUUCACAGAGGAGGUGAUUUUGAACAAGAGUGGAACUUACCACAUGAAAAAACAGUUGAAAUUUAUUCCCCUUAAAGAAAGGAGCAUGUGCAAAGACCAGGGUGUGUCUGGCAGAACGGUGUGGAAUCCAGUCUAGGGGCACAGAGUGUAUAUAUGGGGUUACAGGUGGUGUAGGUUGUGGCCAGAUUAGGUGGUAGUUGCAGGACAAACUAAGAUGUUGGGCAGCACCCAGGGGUGAGUCUCUACCAAGAGGUGGUGCAGAGUACUGUUUCAGGAUUGAAGCCAGACUGUCUGCAUUGGAAUCCCACCUUCCCAGCGACUAGCUGAGUAAUCUUGGACAACUUCUCUGUGCCUUGGUUUCCUCAUCUGUACAAUGGGUGUUAAUAACUACUUCCAGGACCAUGAGGAAGACUAGACAGCUGAACACACAUGAAGUGCUUAGAGUAGCUUGACACACGUGAAGUGCACAACGUAACGUUAGCUAAUAACCGCUGUUAUUCCACGGAGGGCCAGGGGAACCUCAAGAUUAAGGGAUGAACAGGGGACCAGGAACCUCUAACCAAGUCUCAGAAGUAACAGCAGAGUGGUUGGAGGAAGACUAUGAGGGCCACCUGUCAUAGAAGCCAUGGCAAGAGGAUGUUUCCAGAAGGAAGGGUCAACAGGGUCAAGGGUGCCGAGGUGUCAGGCAGGAUGACAGCCAAAGGUGCCAUGGAUUUAGCAACAAGGAAGUCACCGUUGACUUUAGCCAUUGCAGUUUUGGUGAUGUGGUAGAGACAGAGGCCAGUUUGCAGUAUAUUGAACACGUGGGUUGGGAGGAACCGGGGAGAGUGACGCCAACUCUUCCAGCUGUUUGGCCUGCAAGGGACGCAAGUGAGAGGCAGCAGAGGUGGAGGGACGGUGAGGUCGAUAACCAUGUGCUUUGCCAAAUACCCACUGCAUCCCGCCAUUGUCUCCUAUGAGGUUCACAAUAUCUGGUCAGCUAAGCAGCAGAAAGAGCAGAAAAUAUAAGUCAGAAAUGAGGACACGUGUAUAGACAGAUGAAGAAUGGCAGAGCUGGGAGAAAGGCCAGCUACCCAUUUCCUCUCCCUUUUCAUGAUGUGAUUGUGGGCAAGGGGGAACUGGGCAAGAGGGUGGAGGAUGCUCAGUGCCGUCUGCCUGCUUUACCACACCUGGAUGUAAAGGACCCAUCUCUUGAAGGUGGAUGGAGGAGGUGGCAGAAGAGGUUGGUGACAGAUUCCUAUAAACUAAUAUACGCUGGGUGCCCAAUAUGUCCCAUCCUACUGAAUCACAUCAUAUCCAGGUGGUGGGAGAAAUCUUUGGUUGAAAUUGGUUCCAGCUAGAAACGGGAGGCAAGAUGGAUCCCACAUCAGCAGAGGCAACACUGUCUAUUUUUCACUCCUGCCCCUCUCUGCAAUCCCUUCUCUGACAUUUUAGAUAGGUCUGGUCUUUCUUUGACUCUGCAGCUGGGGAGUUGUGGGUGGGAGUGGCUUGGAGGUUGAUGUGUCACUUAAAGCAGCAAUGCUUGUGGGAAGUAAAAUGCAUCCUUCUGAUUUGUUUGGGAAAUGUCUUUAUGUCAAGGACUUUGGAACGAUAAAACCAUAAUGGUGGGAUUUUGGAAAAUCAUUUUCCAAACCAGGGCACAGGAGACCCAAAGUGGGAUAUUUCAAGGAGAAAACCAGUGGAUGCCUGUCCAACAUGAAGCAGAAACAUGGCAGGAGGGCUGAGAGGCGCAGGGCAGCCUUCAUGGCAUAUGAUUUGUGCAGACUCUGCUGUUGCAUGCUUGAAAUUUUUAGUUUUUAAACAAGACCUCUCAUUUUAUUUUGCACUGGACCCUGCAAAUUAUGUGAACCUCCUGGUCAGGGCCGCAGGCUUGGUGGAACACAUGGACUGCAGACUUCAGCUAGGUCUGGCAGGCAGCAGCCCUGACUUCAGAUGCUCCCCACGUGAACCUGGCUCCUGAAACUCACCCACCCUUGGGAAAGCUGGGCCAGCCAGCGGGAGUUGAGACAGAACCUGGCCAAUUUGCAGUCAGCUCUUAAGAGCAGCUGUAAAGAUGCCUCAGACAAACCGAGCAGGGAGGGAGGAAACACAGAACAGUCCUGGAAACCACGAUAAUGAGCAGGGCUCUGUGCUGCAAGCCUUCUGACACAUUUCCAUAUUUAGUCCUCACAAUGGUCCUAGUACAGAGGCACUGGGAUCCCAGUUUUAGGGAUAAUGACCCAGAGGUUCAGGAAGAUGAUCAGAAUUGAUGGUGCUGGUAAGCGGUGACCUGAAUUAAAAUGCAGGUGUCUGGAUCCCAAGUCCAGUGCUUUUCCUAUUACACUAGAGGAUAGAGGUGAAGGCCAGGGGACCCAGAUGUCCAGGCUGUGCUGGCUAGCAUAUCCCAGGCCUGGCUCCAGUUCUGAGCUAAAUGCACUCUCUGUGACCAGUUCAGCUCACUCCAGAGCCCAUGAAGCCAGACCUGGCAGUGGAGGUGUCUCUUUGGGUGGCCAACUCUAAGCUGAGCCUGAGAGCCAGGCCUAAAGGGCAAUGAAGGAAGAGCAUCCCUGCUCAGGCUCCCCUGAGCUCCCAGAGCUGUGGCCCCAAGAUGAACUGGGAAAUUGGUGGUGAGCAGAGGUGGGACCCAGGCGUCCACCUACUACCUCAGGGGGAGAGGGCUCCUCAGGGGACUUUCCUAGCAGCAUGUGGGCGUGUUUGCUGAAUCAUGGGUGACCUUGUUGGUGUUGGUGGGUAUAUUUUGGGGUCAAACUGUUGCCACUUCCUGCCCCUGCGUCCUUGCUCUGUUGGGUGGAAAAGCUGGGGCUUUUUUCUUCUACCAUUCCCUGCAAAGUUGGCAUCGUGCCCUGGCCUCCAGGUGGGCUGCAGGAACCCUGCAGGGCUUUCCAGCAUCCCAGGGGCCCCGAUCAUGCCCAGCUUCUCUCUCUGACCACAGCCCAGCUCUCUGGUCCUGAGCAUAAAGCCAGAAAACCACAGAGAAGGAGCCUGUCUGGGAGUUAAGGUGGGUUAUCUUCAGGGCUCUGUCACGGGGUCCCCAUGUGACAACUCGCGUUUCUUUUCUGGGCUUCCGGCUCCUCAGCUGUAACGUGAGAUGGCCCACCCCAAUUGUCCUGAGCGUCCUCCUGAGCGCUGGGGGGAUGUGGCACACACCUGACCCACGCUGACCCCCCGAAUACACCCACAGAGACUUUGCAAUGUGGCUAUUUUUGGUCCAGAGCCGAAUGGCUCAAGAACCACAAAACUGAGGCUACAAAACAUUCUGAAUCUAAGCCUGUGUGUUGCCUAUCAGGCUUCUUUGAGUUUCUGGCUUCCUGGGAGCUUUCUAAGUUUCAGAUGACCCUGGCUCCUAGGGUGGGUGGGAUCUAAAUGCCUCAGGGACUUGGAUCAGCCCUUAUUAGGCUCUUUGCCCUCUAUCCUCAUCAGAAAGGGCAGGGAGCCCUCCCCAGCAGGCUCUCUCAGUACAACAGGCCUGAUCCGAAAGGCCAGAUCCACCUCGGAUGGACGAGGGGGCUGUUUAGGGUGUAGAUUGUGGGCAGGGCUCUAUCUGCCCUUAGGGACCCAGAAUAUCAUUUCAUGCCAAACCAGAGAAGGUCUCAGUAGCCAUCCAGGCUAGAGGGAAGUGGUGGGAUUGGAUUAUCUGGGGAGCCCUUUCGAGAUACUCCAACUACCUUGAACUCAGAAUACAAAGGUCCGCAGUGAGGUUCAAGCACGUGUCUUUGGAUAAAAGCUUCCCAAAUCAUCCUGAUAUGAAUCCCAUUUCCGGGUAAAGAGUCACUGAUUUAGGCCAACUUCCCCACGUUUUAGGUGGGAGAACUGAUGCCCAGAGGCAGGAAGUAGCCUGCUCAAGGUCCCACAGAAAAUGAGCGGCAGAGCUCAGAAAUCCUGAUUUUUCACCCUCUUUCUACAGAACCCCACCUCCGUCACCUCUCCUGGAUUCCUUCAAACUUCCCAGUCUGACUGCCUGCUUCCAGUCACUGUGUCCUGCAGCCUCUAGCACAAGCCCUCAGCACAAACCACACAUCUGGCCGCACCCCUGUCGCAAGCAAAAGAUUACUUAAGGCCUUCCCUCCACUGACAGCAAGCUUAGGUCCCAAGGUCUGAGCCCAGAAACAGGAUCUUGUGAAACCCAGCCCAGGUCCUCCUGGCUCCAUUUCCAGCCCCUCUCUGCAGGCCUUCCUCACCCCCGCAUGCCCUGAAGACAUCAGCCUCCACACCAGCUAUUAGCAUGCCAUCAAACAAUUGUUUGAUUCUCCUUAAGAGAUACAGCACGUUUCGUUUUCACAGAAGCUUAUGAGCGGGUAUCAUUAUUAUCCCUGUUUGGAGAUGAGGCUGGGAGGUUAAGAAAGGGAAAGAAGUCCCGCCAGUGGUGUACAGAGGAGCUGGGCCUGGGGGCCAGGCAGAGCCCACCCUUAUAACCACACACAAUAUACCAUCCAGGCCCCUGCCCAGGGGAAAUUCCACCUUCAUCCUUCCAGGCCCAGCCAGUAUUCCACAUUGCACCCCAGUGAGCUCUCCGCUCCCCUAGAGGGGGCGUGUGCAGAGUCUAGUCUGCAUAUUAUAGCAGCCUUGACCAUCUGUGCCUGCUUACUGGUUUGCGUAUCUGUUUCCCUCUGGAGGCCCUGACUCUGUGGUCAGCUCUCCUCUCUCACCCGACUGCCCAUGCACAAAGUGGGCCCUCAGAAGAUGUUUCCUGAAUGAAUGAGUGAAGGAAUGAAUGAAUGACCACAUCAGGAACUGAGACCUGUCACCAGCAUCCUGUGUGUGGAAUGGUGCCCAUCAGCACAGUCGGAAAAUGGUCCAUCCAUGCCAGAGGGUCCAGGGGGGUAUAAACAAGCCCAGGGUUUGGGCCAGAGCUUCUCAUCCUAAUUCUGUCACUUGCUACUUGUAUGACUCCUGUCACCUCCAGGGCCUCUGUUUCUCAUCUGCGGCUGGGGGAUGACGAGAAUGAUGUGAAGGCCUCUCCUUCCGCCUGCUUUAGCAACAGUCACUACGCACCCACCCUGGGUGGGGCGCUGGGGCAUGAAGUGAGGACCACGACAGGGACUGCUGCUCCCCGGGAGCUUCCAGGUGAGGGAGGGGUGUGGACCACCAGGCAGUCACAAGAUUGGCUUUGCUGCUAUGGGGCGUGAGCCUGCUUCAUGCUGGGAGCUCAGAUGGGGCAGCCUGCAGGAGGUCUUCCAGAUAAAGCUGGAGCAGGCGUCCCAGGCAGAAGGGGCAGUGACGCCGCAGCACAGGUGCGCAGAGCAGUAACAGUGCCGCGCGGCAAGAGCUCUGUGGGCCACGGUGUGCGGGACUACGUGAGCCGAGCCGAGACAUUUGUACUUCACCUCCGAACAGCAGGCUGAGUUGUCACUCUGGAGCUCCACGGCUGUGGACGGGAAUUGAAACACUGGUGACUGUCACUGCUGUGACAUUCUUUGGGCACCCCCAGGGUCUGCUGUUGCUACAGGAGAUGCUUGAUGCCUCGUUCACUUUGUUGCUGAGAGCUGGAUCACAGAGGCCUCCUGAAAAGAGCAAAAGGUGCCGAAUGUUGGAAGACAGUGUACAAGGGAACCCAGGCGGAGGGUAAGAGUCACUGGAAAACAAAAGAAAUGGUUUUUAAUUCAAAGAUGUUUGGGUGCUGGAGGCACUGUGGCUGGACUUGCACUUAUAGGAGGCAGCUGGGGACGGGUGCGGAGGUGGGGAUGGAAGAGAACACUGUGCUUCUGUGGGUGACAACGGAAAGCCUGGCCUGGGCGUUGGGCAGCACAGGAUUAGAGAGGAAAGAGACCAGGAAGGGGGUCCCGGCUAGGGAGGUGGCAGCACUGCCUGGUUCCUGUGAUGAAGCCUCAGAUGGUCCAGGAUUAAUGGGUAGAGGGGGGAGGGGUGCAGUUUUAUUGAGCACCUACUAUGUGCCAGGCCUCAUGGUAAGCGCUUCCGUAUACUCUGCAGCUCAUAGGACACGAGGUCUCUUCUCGAGCACUAAACACAGUUCCCAGUACCUGCCUCCUGCGGCGAGCUGUAAGCCCCACAGGGGCAGGACCAGUGUCUGUCUUGUGUCUGCUGUGUCCUCAGGACCUGUCAUAUUUUAGGUGCUCCACAAUGAUUUUGAAUGAUCCAACUUUCUUUUCCUCUCCCUCCUUCCUGCCCUCUUUCGUUUUCUCCCUCCCUUCCCUUCCUCUUCCCUUGUUCCAAGAUAAGGUGAGACAUCUCAUUUAAUCCUUCAAAUAGCCCAAAGUUAGGCUGUGGUUUGAGGAGUUUAUUUUGAAAACAUUGGGGAGAGUUUUACCAGAUCCAGUCGGUAGUGGAUUUUACAAGGAAGGAACUAAAGUUCAGAAGUGUUAAGUUACUUGCCUAAGGUCACACAGCUAAAAAGUAGUGGGGCUGAAAUCUGACCCAGUUACCUCUGAGGGCAAACACGCUUCCUCCCUAAGUGAGGGAACUAAGAUAACUUGGCCCCAGAGAUGGACAAAGCGAGGCCAGUAUUGCUGCAGCUGUGCGAUGCCAGGAAAAUGACUCCUCCCUCCACCCGCAUGGGUUUCUGUGUCCUGGUCUGAAGAAUCAGGCUGAGAUGUAACUGGAGGGGAAGCAGGCAGGACCAGGCUCCAGGACCCCCAGGCCAGCAGGGCUGAGGCAAGAAUCUGGGGCCACUCCAGGAGGAGAUGAUCUUAAGAUGAACCCGCAACAGUUGAGCUCUGUCUGACCUCUACCCAUCCGCAGUAAAUUGGUCCCUACUUCACAAAAGGUGACUAAUAAGAAAACCUCUCGAGGGGUGGGAUAGGGAGGGUGGGAGGGAGGGAGAUGCAAGAGGGAAGAGAUAUGGGAACAUAUGUACACGUAUAACUGAUUCACUUUGUUAUAAAGCAGAAACUAACACACCAUUGUAAAGCAAUUAUACUCCAAUAAAGAUGUAAAAAAAAUUAAAAAAGAAAGAAAACCUCUCUACAGGCACAUACUGGUUUUCAAACUUCUAACUAAGAAAAGGGUAGUUCACAUGAGAAACUGGUUCAGUGUCGAUGCUGGGAGCUUUUCUUACCUUUCCCUCAACUAUGCAGUUCUGAUCCAUCACAUUCAAGGCCAUGGAGAUUUUAUUGAGUUAUUACUUGGCCCGUGCUUUGCGCCAGGCUUAGAGAAGAAGAGAUGGAGUGGGGCUGGGGGCGGGACCCUGUGGGACGCUAGGAUUCCAUGCAAUUGGAGCCCCUGGCCAGUUCCUUCUGGGGCUGCGGGAGCUGGGAAGGGGGAGGCAUGACUAAGUCUUUCUGUCGCCUCUUUUCCUGUCCUGGGCUCAUGGUAGCCGCAGUGAGGGGGAGCUUGGGAAGUGAGCAGCUGGAGGGGCAGCCCUGUCCUGGUCUCGAGUGGGCCGAGCAGCAUCCCCGGGAGGAGGGGAGAGCAAAGUAUUUCCUGGGUGGCGACCUGGCCCCUCUCUGUGUCCCAAGUAAGUCUAAAGGAUCUAAGGUGACAUUUGACCAACUAGCCACAUCCCUUUAAUCUCCUUCCUCUUUGAGACCCCACUAAAACAACAACCAAGGAAUAAAAAGUAUCAGUCUGCAAGGACAAAGAAAAUAGGAGAGUGACAACAGUGUCUUAGUGAUUUCAACUGCUUUAAGUACUUUUUGGGCGGCAGGAAGCAGCUGGCCAGGUGAAGGAAUUGAUGGAGCAGGUCCUUACUGAAAGUGUGUGGUCCUUACUGACAGUGUGUUCCCAGAGGUGGCCGCACGUGGUGGUCAGAUGACCAGAUGCUUUGGCAUCCACUGUUCCAUCUGUGCAACGAAGUCUCGGUAUGACCUUGGCAAAGUCAGUUUCUGCUUUCUGAGGCUCGUUUGUUCCCCAUCUGUAAUAGAAAGAGACCGUACUAGAUUCUUAUCUGCUGGUGCCUGAAUUACCUGGAGUUUUCCUCCCCUGCCCCUCAACACGUAUAGGCACAUGUGUCUUGAUGUUGCUUCAGAAACAGGGUGAAGGUAUUUUUGCAUUUUUUGCUCUCCCAGGACACUUUCAGAGCCACUGCUGCAGAUGGUCUCCAAGGGAGCUUUCAACUCCGACACGCCAGGACUCCCACGCAGGUGUUAGGAUGGAGAAUACACGGAAUGGAGGGGUUGUAAGGAUGUAAGACCUUCAUGUGGGAGAUCCAGGCACAGAGGGGCUUCAAAGGAGGCUGAAGGCCUAUCUGUGGGGACAGCAGAAGGGCCUUUACAGAGACAACGACAUUUGCAAUGGAUGGAAUUCACAGAGGGAGACAAGGAGGAGGGCCCUGCAGGUGGAGGUUACGGUGGCAGCAAAUCCCGGAGAUAAGAAAGCAUGUGACCUGUUCAGAGACUUGCAAAUAUUGCAACAUGCGGGAAUCCAUGGAGACAUCACAUGGACCACAAAUGGCCAGGUUAGCAGCUUGCACUUCAUCCCAUUGACCAUGGGAAGCUAUCACGUUGGCCUUGUGAUUUUAACACACGGAUAUGGCCCAGCUACUUUUUCUUGAGCACCUGCUAGUGUUACUUACUCCACGCACUGCACACCAUGUCUUCCUGACCUGGCCACUUGGUCGCUGGACAGUCACACAUCUCUCCAGCCAUUUCCUCAUUCCGGGCACUGUCCUCCACGCUUCGCUGUCCUUACACAAGCUCCUUCCUCUGUGGAGAGGCCGCCUUCCACUUCAGCCUUCCUGCGGGAGACUCUGCUUGAAGAACAUUCCCCUGGGAGGCCUCUCCCCUGUGGGCAGCUCCCAGCCUGCCCUGCGCCCUCCACAUGGCACAUCCACUGCUGUCCUUACACCAACUGGCUUUUCCUUACUUAGCUGUGAUGCAAUGGCUUGCAUGUCAUCGGUAGCUGUCUUCCCUGGGGCUAACCAAGGACCAAGAACAGGGCAAGUGAUUGAAAAGUGUUGAGUGAUUGAAAAAAUAGAAAUUGCAACUAUCUGGGCCAGGCCCUUGACAGAAUGGAUCUUAUUGAAUGCUCCUCGGUCACCUGUGAGAUACGAGUUACUCUUUCCAUCUUGCACGGGAGAUGUGACUCGGCCGAGUUUAUGUAUCCGCUGAUUUGCAGAACUGGGAUUCAAACCCAUGUGUGUCUCAGUGCUGGUGCAGAGCUCUUCUGCUCUACCAUGUUCCUGGGACAGUAGCUCCAUCCCUGGAUGGAAAGACGUGACAUCAGAGGAGCCACAGACAGGCCACUUCCUCUCAUUCACCUUUUUCCACGUCCCAUUCAGCUGGGACAGCUUCUACUCAGCCUCUCAAGAUCCGUAUCUGUUCCUGCACUUAGGGAAGUUUCCCUACACCUCUCACACCACCCAGGGGAGGUAAGGAAAGGAGUUUUCCAUGUGGUCACUGGACGUGAGUAACCACCUCUUCUUCCUGUGACUUCCCCACCUCUGCACUGGGGCUUGGAAAACCCCACCCAUGUCUUCUAAUAAAAGCUCUGGGUACUGCAGGAUGGGCCAGAGGACAGCUCUUCACUCCACCAGACUCCUUGAGGGACUCCUUCCAGGGAGGCCUGAGCUGGACGUCCCGAGAUGAAGGUCAUCACCACCGCUCUGGUGUGCCUGCUGCUGGCCGGGGCAUGGCUACAGGAUGUGGAUGCCAAGAGCAAAAGAAUUCUCCCUGAAGAGGAGGAAGGGAGGACUUGCUCGGGGGCAGGGGGACAGCAGGAGAGCCAUAAGCCUGGGGCCAACACAGACCGCUGAGCAGCUGGCUUCAGCCAAAGGAGGCCAGCCUCGUCCAGACCCUGCGGACUGAUGGAGGGCAGCUGUGAGGUCAUUGAGGCCAAGCUGGAGGCCUGAGGUCCAGAGGAGGGACUGACUGGGGUCUCGCCUCCACUGUGUAACAGAUAACGGGCAGAGUCUGAGGUCAGGAUCUGGGGCUUUAACAGUUGGCUAACCUUGGGCAAGUUACUAUACCUCCCAAACUCUGGUUUCGCUAUCAGUAAGAUAGGUUUGAUCAUGCCUACCCUCUAAGGCUGAUGAGAGAAUACUGACCUAACAGCAGACAUAUGGAAAGGGCUUUGCAAACGGUCAAACUAGGAGGAAGGAGCCAGGAUUGAAAUGCAAGUCUUUUGAAGGUGGGGUGUGUGUAGGGGGGGUUACAAACCGGCAGAGUGGGAGUUGUGGGUCAGAGCUGAGAGGACCAGGGUGGAGGGUGAGGUUGGGAUUGCGUGGAGCUGAUCAGUUCCUGGAAGCUCUUGCCUGGUCAUUUCAUCAGUCUGAGCUCCUAAAACAGUCCCUAAUCCUGCCCCAAACAGUGGACUGCUGUUGAAUCAGACUCACAGGGUCUCGGGGCCCUUGAACCCAAAUGUAAGGGCAGAACCAUACCCUAGUGGUGGGAUGUCAGAACUAGAAUAGCCUUUCGAAAUCAGUCUAAAGAGUCUUGCUUUUCAGCUGGGAAGUCUGGGGCCCAGGGGAGGGAGGGCUCAUCUUGACCAAAGCCACACAGCUGUUUUGUGGGGAGCUGGGAUCUGAACCCCAGUGUCCUGACUGCCUAAAUACAGAACUGGGUGGCUGAUGAGACACUAGUGCCCUUUGGAUGUGAUCCCAAAGCCUGAGCCUGUUCUGGAAGGGUUUUUUGUCUUUUCUUUUUUCCCCAUCCUGGAUGAGAGGAACUCAGUCCAGCUUGAGAAAUGGAUGCAAACCAUUUUUGCGCUUCUCUUCUAGUGCAUGUGUCAUCCUCCAAGUGUUGUUUCACACUGGUGGAGAGAAAGAUGUCCCUGCAGAGAAUCCAGUGUUACAAGAACACCAGCUCCACCUGCUCCUACAAAAACCAUCUAA